GGGCCUAUAGCUCAGUCGGUUAGAGCAGGGGACUCAUAAUCCCUUGGUCCUAGGUUCGAGUCCUAGUGGGCCCA
rnacentral:tRNA from 1 species